GACGAACGCUGGCGGCGUGCUUAACACAUGCAAGUCGAACGAAGAGCGAUGGAAGCUUGCUUCUAUCAAUCUUGGUGGCGAACGGGUGAGUAACGCGUAAUCAACCUGCCCUUCAGAGGGGGACAACAGUUGGAAACGACUGCUAAUACCGCAUACGAUCUAAUCUCGGCAUCGAGGAUAGAUGAAAGGUGGCCUCUACAUGUAAGCUAUCACUGAAGGAGGGGAUUGCGUCUGAUUAGCUAGUUGGAGGGGUAACGGCCCACCAAGGCGAUGAUCAGUAGCCGGUCUGAGAGGAUGAACGGCCACAUUGGGACUGAGACACGGCCCAGACUCCUACGGGAGGCAGCAGUGGGGAAUCUUCCGCAAUGGACGAAAGUCUGACGGAGCAACGCCGCGUGAGUGAUGACGGCCUUCGGGUUGUAAAGCUCUGUUAAUCGGGACGAAAGGCCUUCUUGCGAAUAGUGAGAAGGAUUGACGGUACCGGAAUAGAAAGCCACGGCUAACUACGU
rnacentral:rRNA from 1 species